rnacentral:lncRNA from 1 species
GCUGUCUAGGGAUGGGAGCUGAGUUUGUAAUGCUCCUGAUUUACUAGAAACAAGGGCUAUAUGGAGAAGCUGGAAGGAUCAUGUACUCAUGAUACAGCUUGGAAAACAGUGGACACUCAGAAGUGUAAGAAUUAAAGGUUAGUUCUCAGGUUGCUUAUAGCCUGGGAGGAGCUUCUGCUGAGUGCGGGGAGAGGCAAAAAGGUAGGAUGGCAGAAACUGCUUCCAGCUGGUGUUUGUUUAACAAAGCUUUAGAGGUGAAGGCAGAAGGAAGCCUGGGAGAUGUUUGGGUUUUGUUCAUGCUGGAGAACUGAAGAUUACCGUGUUUAUAUCAUUUGACUAAAAUUAACAUUGACGUUACCAUACGGGCUGGCCCCUUUCCUGCCCCAUCUGUUCUCUCUGGAAGUGUGCCCUUGGCAGUUGGACCUGCUGCAUUAAGUGGGCCUGAGGAGGCAGCCCUGCCCAGGUCGUGCUGGGAUAGCUUCUCCCCCACCAGUCUCUCUUGCUUGCAUGAAGAGGAAGCCUGUAUUGCCUGUAAAGACCAGCUUCAACCACAUACCAAAGGAGAAGUGGAGUUUAUGCUGAGGCCAGCUGCUGGCCGGGAUACCCGUGCUUGAGAGAGAUCUGCAAGAGUUUCUGGAGGGUCCUGAUAACAUGUGAGAGAAUGGUGGCUGACGUUUAAAUGCAGGUUGAACUAAACUGCAGUCUGCUUCAUAGAUGAAGGUCAACCAGCCAUGCCUUAGUCAACUGUGCCUCAUUGAGUUGCUCUGCCUUAUACAGCUGGACUGACCGAGUUUUCUUGAUGCCUGUAACUCACUUCUUCUUCUGCAUAAUUUUGACGUGCAGCCUCCCCUGUGCCCUGAGAGACCCUGGCGCUACCUGCCUACCCCUGCAGCUGCCUAGUGCCAAGCAACUGUCACCACCCCUGAUUUCUCCUGUUCUCUCUGGGUUUGGUACGAUGUCUGCCUGA